ACACCAGCUCCCGCGCCUCCACGCCAUGCCGGGCGGCGGGUCCCGGCCGCCCGAGCCGCCGCGGAGCUGAGAACUGCCAGAUAUAUACUGAAUCUUGCAUGUGUAAAGGACUACCUCUUUAUGACCUGGUCAUUAUCUUUGAAAAACUAUUGAAACCCUAGGAAAAUGG